rnacentral:lncRNA from 1 species
CAAAGUGAGAACUUUCUUCUUCCUCCUCCCCAGAACCUGAAUUCAUCUUCUUCCCAAAUAACAUCACCUAACAGUACUACCAAACAUUAAAAUACUAGAUCUACAAACUCUAAUCUUCACAAGAUCACAAACCUACCCAGAUCCCAAAAAUUCAAAACCCUAAGAUUUAAAGGAAAAAAGCUCAGAUCUAUUAUCGGAAGAACUCGGUGAUUUGGGUUCGAAGAAGAAAAAUGGAAAACAGAGGAGACCAUUUUCACCAUUUUCGCUCUCUGGGUUUUCUGUGGGAGCCACCACGAUAAUCUCACGUCAGAAAGGAGCAACUCCGUUGUCAACCACCACGAAACGGUUGUCGCUGCCAUCACAACCACUGCAAAAGAUCAAACCAGAUCAAGAGCACAAGAUUUCCCAAACCAGAAUUUUGACACUCAAAACUUAAACUGGGAAACAAGAACGGAACUUCUCAAAAUGAAAAUUGAAAUUUCAUUCGACACCCUACUGGAGCCAAUUUCAUCCAUUAAACAUAAGGAAUUUGAUUCGCCCAUCAUCUUCAACUCGGGCACAAGAAGCACCAUCUUCCCUCACGCUCAAACUCUCCCACCCUCUGUAUGCAUCCAAUAGAUUCAAAUCAAAACUGAGAAGACCAAAUGAGCCCCCUAAUCUCCACUACGCUUCCCCA